rnacentral:rRNA from 1 species
AACGAACGCUGGCGGCGUGCCUAACACAUGCAAGUCGUGCGAGAAAGUUCCUUCGGGAGCGAGUAAAGCGGCGCACGGGUGAGUAACACGUAGGUAACCUGCCCCCCAGUCUGGAACAACUAGAGGAAACUCUAGCUAAUGCCGGAUGAGACCACGAUCCCUUCGGGGUUGCGGCCAAAGAUGGCCUCUACUUGUAAGCUAUCGCUGAGGGAUGGGGCCUGCGGGCCAUUAGCUUGUUGGUGAGGUAACGGCUCACCAAGGCUGUGAUGGCUAGCUGGUCUGAGAGGAUGACCAGCCACACUGGGACUGAGACACGGCCCAGACUCCUACGGAGCAGCAGUGGGAAUAUUGCGCAAUGGGCGAAAGCCUGACGCAGCGACGCCGCGUGGGUGA